AACGAACGCUGGCGGCAGGCUUAACACAUGCAAGUCGAGCGCCCCGCAAGGGGAGCGGCAGACGGGUGAGUAACGCGUGGGAAUCUACCCAUCUCUACGGAAUAACGCAUGGAAACGUGUGCUAAUACCGUAUACGUCCUUCGGGAGAAAGAUUUCUCGGAGAGGGAUGAGCCCGCGUUGGAUUAGCUAGUUGGUGGGGUAAAGGCCUACCAAGGCGACGAUCCAUAGCUGGGCUGAGAGGAUGAUCAGCCACACUGGGACUGAGACAGGGCCCAGACUCCGACGGGAGGCAGGAGUGGGGAAUAUUGGACAAUGGGCGCAAGCCUGAUCCAGCCAUGCCGCGUGAGUGAUGAAGGCCCUAGGGUUGGAAGGCUCUUUCACCGGUGAAGAUAAGGACGGUAACCGGAGAAGAAGCCCCGGCUAACUUCGUGCCAGCCGCCGCCGUAAGAC
rnacentral:rRNA from 1 species